rnacentral:lncRNA from 1 species
CACGUAUCUCCCGAUUAUGCUUCGGGAGAAGCUCGAAGAGAUAUGUCCAACCAUCAGAUGCCCCAUAAGAGAAUGUGAAAGAAGCCAUCUCUAUGAGGAGGGAGGAGUAGCCCCAUAGAAAGGCUGAAGACCUCUGUUUCGAGUGCUGCAUAAGUGUGGCCUCCAAUGGCCAUGGGUCCAAGUCCUCCAGUGCACUAGAGAAUUUCCAAUCCUUUCGAGCCAAGCUGCAGUCUGCAUAAUGACGCCCUUCUUUCAAAUGACUGGCGGCAGUCUGACCAGAAGAACUGUCUCUCCCGACCA